CUCUCUAGCUAAUGUUCUGUUAGCAUAACAGGUCCCAACACGUACAGUCUAAAGUGCUUUCUAGCUAAUGUUCUGUUAGCAUAACAGGUUCUGCUACAGAGUAGACAAACAACAUUAUCUGACAGUAGCUAGGUCACAUGACAUGGGUCAGGUAAGAAACGAUAGACAUGUAGAACUACAGUAGGGUUUGGUAGUACUGUACCAAUGACUGGACCCAGUAUGGUAGAUAGGACUGGACCCAGUAUGGUAGAUAGGACUGGACCCGGUACACUCUGACUGGACCCAGUAGAUAGGACUGGGCCCAGUAUGGUAGAAGGGACUGGACCCAGUAUGGUAGAAGGGACUGGACCCAGUAUGGUAGAAGGGACUGGACCCAGUACGGUAGAUAGGACUGGGCCCAGUACGGUAGAUAGGACUGGGCCCAGUACGGUAGAUAGGACUGGGCCCAGUAUGGUAGAAGGGACUGGACCCAGUAUGGUAGAUAGGACUGGACCCAGUAUGGUAGAUAGGACUGGACCCAGUAUGGUAGAUAGGACUGGGCCCAGUAUGGUAGAAGGGACUGGGCCCAGUAUGGUAGAUAGGACUGGGCCCAGUAUGGUAGAUGGGACUGGGCCCAGUAUGGUAGAUGGGACUGGGCCCAGUAUGGUAGAUGGGACUGGACCCAGUAUGGUAGAUAGGACUACUUGAGGUGAGGGAGAAAGUGUGGUGGGACAAGUAUUCGUUAGCUAGCCAAUUUAUCUGAUCAAAUAAUUGAGUUCAUGGUGUGAAAAUUAGCUGCUAAUAAAGUCAGACAGCUGACGCUAGCUAGCUAACGUUACAUCAUCAGACAGCUGAAGCUAGCUAGCUAGCUAACGUUACAUCAGACAGCUGAAGCUAGCUAGCUAACGUUACAUCAUCAGACAGCUGAAGCUAGCUAGCUAACGUUACAUCAUCAGACAGCUGAAGCUAGCUAGCUAGCUAACGUUACAUCAGACAGCUGAAGCUAGCUAGCUAACGUUACAUCAGACAGCUGAAGCUAGCUAGCUAACGUUACAUCAGACAGCUGAAGCUAGCUAGCUAACGUUACAUCAUCAGACAGCUGAAGCUAGCUAGCUAACGUUACAUCAUCAGACAGCUGAAGCUAGCUAGCUAGCUAACGUUACAUCAUCAGACAGCUGAAGCUAGCUAGCUAACGUUACAUCAUCAGACAGCUGAAGCUAGCUAGCUAACGUUACAUCAUCAGACAGCUGAAGCUAGCUAGCUAGCUAACGUUACAUCAUCAGACAGCUGACGCUAGCUAGCUAACGUUACAUCAUCAGACAGCUGAAGCUAGCUAGCUAACGUUACAUCAUCAGACAGCUGAAGCUAGCUAGCUAGCUAACGUUACAUCAUCAGACAGCUGAAGCUA
ensembl:lncRNA